rnacentral:tRNA from 1 species
CAAAUUAAAGCUUAGGAUAAGCGUUAUUAUUUACAUUAAUAAAAUGGUUGUGAGAUUCAACCUAAUUUGA